rnacentral:rRNA from 1 species
GCGGUUAUACUAUUAAUACAAAUUAAUUUUAUUGAUAUUAAAUAUUAAAUUUUUAAUUUUUAUAAAAAAUUUAUUAAGUGAAAUUUUAAAUUUUUAAAAAAUUAUAUUUUUAUAAUGAAGUUAAAAAAUUUUGUAAAAAACUAGGAUUAGAUACCCUAUUAUUAAAAAGUAAUUUUUUUAUCAAAUUAGUAUUAGUUAUAUUCUUAAAAAUUAAAAAUUUUGGCGGUAUUUUAGUCUAUUUAGAGGAACCUGUUCUGUAAAUGAUAAUCCACGAUUUAAUUUACUUUUUUUAUUAGUUUAUAUAUCAUCGUAAUUAAAUAUUUUUUUAGAAUUUAAAUGUUUAAAAUUUUAAAUUAAAAAAUUAAUCAGAUCAAGGUGUAAUUUAUAAAAAAGAAGAAAUGGGUUACAUUUAAUUUAUUAUAAGAUUAUUAAUAUUGAUAUUAAUAUGAAUAUGGAUUUAUUUGUAAAAUUAAUUAAUUUAUUAAUUUGAUAUAGCUCUAAAAUAUGU